rnacentral:rRNA from 1 species
UACGAAGGGGGCUAGCGUUGUUCGGAAUUACUGGGCGUAAAGCGCGCGUAGGCGGUGAUCUUUGUCAGAGGUGAAAGCCUGGGGCUCAACUCCAGAAUUGCCUUUGAAACGGGAUUGCUUGAGUCCGAGAGAGGAUGGCGGAAUUCCUAGUGUAGAGGUGAAAUUCGUAGAUAUUCGCAAGAACACCAGUGGCGAAGGCGGCUCACUGGCCCGAUACUGACGCUGAGGCACGAAAGCGUGGGGAGCAAACAGG